CGCGCAGGUGGUCCACUAAGCCCGGCGUGAAAGCCCCCGGCUCAACCGGGGAGGGUCGUCGGGGACUGGUGGACUUGAGGGCGGCAGGGGCUGGUGGAAUCCCCGGUGUAGUGGUGAAAUGCGUAGAGAUCGGGGGGAACACCCGUGGCGAAGGCGGCCAGCUGGGCCCGUCCCUGACACUGAGGCGCGAAGGCGUGGGGAGCGAACG
rnacentral:rRNA from 1 species